AAAAUUGACAUCCACAACACCAAAUUUGUUAAACCGAACACCUCUGUUCACAACGGGAUCGAACAAGUCACAUUUGAAGAGGACACAUUUUAGCUUCAAUAACCCCAGAAAUUCCACUUCAGUAAUCUCCUGCAAGAUCAUGUAAAAGUCUAUUUCGCCUUUGACACAUAUUCCGUAGUUACUUGUUGCUCGAGAUCUCUCAUACUCGUAUGUUUGAACGGUAAAACCUCAUGUGAAAUACAUAAGUAUUGUGGUGACCUUCGUUACUGGAUCUUGGACCAAAUCGUGAAACCAUACGGGGUAAUAUGGAUCGUCAUAAUCAACCUACAAAAAACAAAACCGUUAAAAUUUCAUAUUAAUUAUAUUAUAGUACCAAAAGAUUGCUCAAUAUUUGAAUAAGAUUAUUACUUGUGAUUUGAACCACUUGACAAAAUGUUUAUCUUUCCGUUUCUCCACCUCAGUUGCGGAUAUUCCUGGUAUUGCUUCUUCAACUUGCGAUACAAACAUGCUGCAAAUUAAAUGAAUGCAUCACAUGAUAUAAUUAACAUCAUUUCAUAUAAUUAACAUACACAUCAAUAUUUACCUUUCAAACGAACGCGUCACUGCAUCCUCGCAGUUGAGUAGAAUAUAAGUGUGGGCACUAUGCUUAUCCUCUUCACUAAACCACCAUACUUCUUUCAGUUUACCACCAAACCGUCCAAUUUGGCAGAAAAUG
rnacentral:lncRNA from 1 species